rnacentral:rRNA from 1 species
AUUGAACGCUGGCGGCAUGCCUUACACAUGCAAGUCGAACGGCAGCACGGGAGCUUGCUCCUGGUGGCGAGUGGCGAACGGGUGAGUAAUACAUCGGAACGUACCCUGAAGUGGGGGAUAACGUAGCGAAAGUUACGCUAAUACCGCAUAUUCUGUGAGCAGGAAAGAGGGGGAUCGCAAGACCUCUUGCUUUAGGAGCGGCCGAUGUCGGAUUAGCUAGUUGGUGAGGUAAAGGCUCACCAAGGCGACGAUCCGUAGCGGGUCUGAGAGGAUGAUCCGCCACACUGGGACUGAGACACGGCCCAGACUCCUACGGGAGGCAGCAGUGGGGAAUUUUGGACAAUGAGCGCAAGCCUGAUCCAGCCAUGCCGCGUGAGUGAAGAAGGCCUGCGGGUUGUAAAGCACUUUCAGUGGGGGAAGAACGGGAUACGGGGCCAAUACCCGCAUCACUGACGUUACCCACAGAAGAAGCACCGGCUAACUCCGUGCCAGCACG